AUUGAACGCUGGCGGCAUGCCUUACACAUGCAAGUCGAACGGCAGCACGGGAGCAAUCCUGGUGGCGAGUGGCGAACGGGUGAGUAAUAUAUCGGAACGUGCCCAGUCGUGGGGGAUAACGUAGCGAAAGCUACGCUAAUACCGCAUACGAUCUAUGGAUGAAAGCGGGGGAUCGCAAGACCUCGCGCGAUUGGAGCGGCCGAUAUCAGAUUAGGUAGUUGGUGAGGUAAAGGCUCACCAAGCCGACGAUCUGUAGCUGGUCUGAGAGGACGACCAGCCACACUGGGACUGAGACACGGCCCAGACUCCUACGGGAGGCAGCAGUGGGGAAUUUUGGACAAUGGCGCAAGCCUGAUCCAGCAAUGCCGCGUGCAGGAUGAAGGCCUCGG
rnacentral:rRNA from 1 species